AAAAAGAUAAGCUAAAAAAGCUAUUGGGCCCAUAACUCAAUUAUGAUUUAAAUCUCUUUUUA
rnacentral:tRNA from 2 species